ensembl:lncRNA
UUCUGGACUUCCUUAUACAAGGUGCUACAAAAGGAGACCACAAAUAACCUCUAUAAAAAUUGCAUUGGAAGCAGCAGAGGGAAAGCAUCCAGAGGAAGCUUUGGCGUAUGGAAUGAAGUCUGAUGAGAGGGUGCAAAGAAAAUUCUUUUCAGUGGUGCCCAGUGCCAGGACAGGAGGCAGCAGGCACAAACUGGUACAGGAGGUUUCCCCUGAACAUCAGGAAGUGCUUCUUUACAGUGCAGGUGACAGAGCACUGAAGGAGGAGGCCCAGAGAUACUGUCUCCUUGAAGAUAUUCAAAAGCUGCCCAGACAUAGUUCUGAGAUGCCUGCAUUAGGUGUUCCUGCUUGAACAAUGAAAAAGAAGGCUGGACUAGAUGGCCUCCAAAGGUUCCUUCCCAAACCAACCAUUCUGAGAUUCUGUGAAGUUUUCCAAAUCCAGCUCACAGGCUGGAACAGUAGAGCAGCCCAAUCAGCUAGGCCGAGGAAUGAAGUAUACCUCCUGACUGCCUCCAAUUCUUCCCUGAACUUGGACCCUGAUGCUUUUUAAUAGAAGUAUGAAGAGGACCUCUUUGUUCUUUCCCAAGGCCUAAGACUGCUCAACCAUGAAUUCCCACCUGCAGAUGAACACUGCUUGUACGCAUACUCAGAGCAAGGAUUGGGUCAGGGGUGGAAUAAGGGGUUCUGAAGCCAAAAAGGUAAGAAUUCCCAUGGCCCACAAACCAGCAGCAAAAUCCAACCAAAAACAGAAGAGAUUCCUUCUGUAAAUUGGCAUUCAAUGCUACCAAUGCACCCCAAAAAUAAAAGUACCAUUAUAAAAAAAAUAAAAAGGCCAUUCACAGUUUAGCAGGCUUCAUCCUGUUACAAAUAAUUCGGCCAGAUUAUUUGAAGGCUACAUUUAUCAGACAGAAUUACAAAAAAAAACAAAAAACAAAAAACAAAUCAUGCUUAGUCUUUGAUGAAAGUAAGGAAAUAAACAAAAUGAGAAAUCAGCAAAACACUCCAUCGGAUCAUACUUAACAGUCAGCUCUGGCCUGCACUCGCUGAUGUGCUGCUGUCUGGUCCUGUCUGGUAGGAGAUCCUCUUCUCCCCUCAGUCAAGGCAGAAUGUCCUGAUCUCUCUUAGGCGUUCCUCAUGAGAGCUUACUUCCUACUUUCUCCCCUAACAGGAAUCUCAUUCCAGAGCUUCUGACAAAUAUGGCUGUGAAGCCUUAGGUUUCCCAUCCCCUGUUUUCUGCAAUUAAACCUGGGAUGUAAUAAAAGACUUAGCUUAUGUAAUUAAGACUUAGGUUGUAAUAAAAGGGAUGCGCUUUUUCGUGCUUGAAUUUUCUGCCCUACUGUGGCUGUUUUAAAUUUGUAUUUCUAUCAUUCUCUAAUCAGCGUCUCUCUUCUUUCUUUAGGCUGCUGUUUCCUAUUUAUAAGACCAUGGUAAAACACCAUAAAUUGUUUAAUGUAUAAAAAGCAAGUGUACAAACAAUUUACAAAAAUUACAAUUAUCACUUUGCUCUUAACAGAAUAAAGAUGACAAUAAU